CCGUGCCUCAAAAGAGGAAGUCGAUGGGGAAAAUUGGGGAAUUGGUGAAGAUAUUUUCUCUCUUGUGUUUUUAAAAGGACAGCGAUUGCUUUGCGUAAGGCUGUUGUUGUCGAGAGUAUUCUAUAAAGGUCAGGAUUUAUUGAAAAUGAGUUGGGUAGAUUAAAGCUGCUUACAAUUUGGAAGAUCUUGCCGGGAAGGGAUUAUCAAAAAACUGAAAAACAGAUCUUGCUACAGAACAACUGAAAUACAAAGGAUUUCAUCAAGUAACGAAAUCAGUAACUUACUGCAUGUAGAUAGGAAUUAAAUUAGCCACGUUAGACUUACACCAAUCUACCUCAUAGUACCUUCAAGACUAACCAACAUUAAUGCGUGAGCAUUCGCAAGCAGGAGCUCACUCUCUCAGAUGUUUAGAAUGGGCAUGAUUUUAAUUGUAGAGACUGAGAGGAAGAGGUUGAGUACCUUAUCAAUUAGCAAAUGGAAAAGGAUAAGAACAUUUGUUAUUUGCUAAAAACACUCACUGUAUUUAAAGUCCUAUAAGAACAAACUAUUCUAUGCAUCCAAUGAACUAUUGCUCACAAAGGUUUAAGCCCUAAUGAAAUUAGCUAGCUUUAAAAACACUUCCAAAUUCACCUAACACAAUCUUCCCCUUCCAUUAUAAAACCUGUGAAGGAGCUUAAGUUAUUUACUAUUUCUGAUUUAAUUUAUUUCUGCCGAUGAAAGACUAAGUUUUUAUGUUCAAUUGAGAUGAACAGGAUACAAGUGCAUAUUCUUUUAAUUGUCAGGUGACUAUCUACACAGGACAGCAGUAUCCUAUCUAACACUAUACUUUUUAGCUUCUAACACUUGAUACUUUUUAGCUUCACUUAUAACUGAAGAUGGUAAUAAAGGAGUAAUAACCUCA